AGGUGUGAAAUAUGGAGGACCUGAGCUAAAGAUGGGGUCGGUAGUGUCAUUCUUUGGCGGGUUAUGUGGCAAAGAGGAAAAGAAAGAGGAGCAGAGUCACUUCCGAGCUAAUGACAGGCCUUUCAACCUCUCCUACCACUAUGCUGACAACGCCAUCAAGACCUCCAAGUACAACCUUUUCACCUUCCUGCCACUUAAUCUCUUCGAGCAGUUCCAGAGGCUCGCCAAUGCCUACUUCCUCUUCCUCAUGGUCCU